rnacentral:rRNA from 3 species
UGGGGAAUAUUGGACAAUGGGGGGAACCCUGAUCCAGCCAUGCCGCGUGUGUGAAGAAGGCCCUCGGGUUGUAAAGCACUUUCAGUGAGGAAGAACGCCUGGUGGUUAAUACCCAUCAGGAAAGACAUCACUCACAGAAGAAGCACCGGCUAACUCCGUGCCAGCAGCCGCGGUAAUACGGAGGGUGCGAGCGUUAAUCGGAAUUACUGGGCGUAAAGCGCGCGUAGGUGGCUUGAUAAGCCGGUUGUGAAAGCCCCGGGCUCAACCUGGGAACGGCAUCCGGAACUGUCAAGCUAGAGUGCAGGAGAGGAAGGUAGAAUUCCCGGUGUAGCGGUGAAAUGCGUAGAGAUCGGGAGGAAUACCAGUGGCGAAGGCGGCCUUCUGGACUGACACUGACACUGAGGUGCGAAAGCGUGGGUAGCAAACAGG